GAAAAGAAAAGAAGAAAACUAAG
rnacentral:sRNA from 1 species